AGUCUCGCGCGCGGGCGGAGGUGGGCCGGUGCGGCGCUGUCACGUAGGUUCAGUGGGCGGAAGAGGUGGCUCCGGAUGCUGCGGCGCCCGCUGGCCGGGCUGGCUGCGGCCGCCCUGGGCCGGGCCCCACCGGACGAGGCCGCACUGCUAUCCAUAGCCUCUCUUCUCACCCCCAGGCAUGUCGGGCCCCAGGCCUGUGGUGCUGAGCGGGCCUUCGGGAGCUGGGAAGAGCACCCUGCUGAAGAGGCUGCUCCAGGAGCACAGCGGCAUCUUUGGCUUCAGCGUGUCCCAUACCACGAGGAACCCGAGGCCCGGCGAGGAGAACGGCAAAGGGAGGUGAUGCAGCGUGACAUAGCAGCCGGCGACUUCAUCGAGCAUGCCGAGUUCUCGGGGAACCUGUAUGGCACGAGCAAGGUGGCGGUGCAGGCUGUGCAGGCCAUGAACCGCAUCUGUGUGCUGGACGUGGACCUGCAGGGUGUGCGGAACAUCAAGGCCACCGAUCUGCAGCCCAUCUACAUCUCUGUGCAGCCACCUUCACUGCAUGUGCUGGUGUGUGCUGGGCAGGGUUGGGGGCUGGGGGCCAGGGCAUGCCAGGCUCUGAUUGCCACCCCCUUUUUAGGAGCAGCGGCUGCGGCAGCGCAACACUGAAACGGAGGAGAGCCUGGUGAAGCGGCUGGCUGCUGCCCAGGCCGACAUGG
rnacentral:sRNA from 1 species